CCCUGGCCAGCGCCCACUGCGCCAGGUGAGGAAUCCGAAGUCCUCAUCAAGGACCCUCCACUUAUUACAAAUUCAGCUGGGACUGAAGCGGUGUGUCCGCAGCUUGGACACCAAACAGGCGACCCCUUUACUAGCUGAGAAUACGCCUCUGUGAAGACAAGUGACUGCAAAGCAGCGAAGCCUCAGUCCUGAGAGCAUUUUUCUAAGACAUCAGUUCCAUCAGAUAUGUCUUUGGGAAUCAUUUCAUACUCAGCCAAGUGUUAGAAAGGGCUGGUUGGCAUUAUUUGCUCCAAUAAUAAAUCCAUGUGCGCUAAUGUUCGUCAAUGCUGCUCUGCAGGGAGAAGUCAAAGCACGCAAGCCAGGCCUCCAUGGGGAGGCCCGAGAUGACUGGAGGGUUUGUGCCUAAGCAUUUGUUCAGAUGCAAUAAUCCACUACUCUUGGGGAGAAAAUGAUCCUUUUUUAAAAAUUAUUUUGUCUUUUUAAAAAACUGAUCUAACAAAUUUUGCAGAAUUGAAGGAGCAACUGAAGCAAAGUUUUCUUGUUGAUAGAGGUGUGUCCGGUGUGCAGAUGUGUCCUUUGGAGACUGGGUCGACAUGUCGCCAUGGCACUGUGCCUGCUCCAGUCCCUGGCCAGCCCUCCAUCUGUCAGCGACAGCACACGAGGUCCUCCUGGACAGAGAGUAUCCAGUACUAUGGACACUGUGGACACAGAAAAUGCUUCCUUCCUCUCUAAAUCUCCCCAGGAGGGCUCCCUGGUGAGGCCCAAGGGAGGUGAUCCAGACAGCCAUCUCCUCACCAGAGCUUCUCCUCCCCCCUCAAACGAUGGAGAGAAAACAUGGAGAUGCUUCUUGCCGGCAGGUUUAUAAGAUUCAAAGCUUCUGGUGAGAAGCAGAGACAAGGUAGUAUCCUUCUGUGUUGGGGAGAGCUGGCCACUGCUGAUGCCAUAGCUGAGAGUCCCCUGCAGAAGCUGUCCCAGGAGGCCACAGGAGGGGUUGUCCUGGUGCAUGCCGACGGUAGCAGAGCUGCUACUCCUGCCGGUCCGUCCCUGGUGUUUAAUGAGCCCGUCCUGAGAUGAAGGAGGGAAAGUGGGGGCAGGCAAAAGAGAGAAUGUCCAUUGUGCCAGGAGGCAUCCCCGCCUUCCUCCUGUAGCUCUGGGACCAGCUGCAAGAAGGCAAAGUAUCAUACCAGCCUUUUGAGAGGGGAGGCUCAGAAGCCCAUCAGCAGACGAAUGAGCAGACAGAAUGCGGUCUAUCCGUGUGAUGGAACAUUAUUCAGCCGUAAAAAGGAAUGAAGCACUGACCCAGGCUACAACACGGUGAACCCUGAAAACGUGAUGCUGCGUGAAAGAAGCCACUCACAAAUGCCACACGUUGCGUGAUUCAAACGCCACACAUUGCAUGAUUCAAACGCCACACAUUGCAUGAUUCAAACGCCACACAUUGCAUGAUUCCAUUUACAUGAAAUGCCCAGAAUAGCAAAAGAAAGGAGUGGCUGACUUGGCAGAGAAGAGAUGAGAUCAUAUUUGCACUUGACCAAGAUGGCCCCAGGAGAUAAUGGGAGGAAGGGGGUGACCCUGGAGGCUGAUCUGGGAUGGUGAGCUGGCCCCCUCCACUGUCGAAUGUUUAAAAAACAUUAAAAAUGAGUCAAAAGGAGAACAGAGGAAUCCGCCCCUAGCUGGUGAUGCUUCUUUUUGUUACAUACAAGUGAAGAGAGUAUAGAGAGUCAUUCAUUCAUUCAUGCAGCUCAUCUGGACUGAGCAUCUACUGUGUUAGAGAGACCACGUAUAAAUACCCUUUUAAAUGUUUAUUCAGUAACGAAGAUAUUCCUGCUUCUGACUUCUCCAUCCAGGUCUUGGAAUCACCACCUCUCACACACACACCCAGGAAUCAUCUCUGUACCAGCCUCCUUUUCUCUAACCUCGAUCCCAUCCCAUCUGACCAAUCAGAAACCAAAUCCCACCAGCCUUCUCUCUGUGAUCGAACUGCAUCUUCUUUCUUCUUCCCCACUGGGUCCAUCUGCUGGCUCUCUAGCUGGAAGCUUCUCCACACCACCCCGCACCCACCUGCCAGCCCAGCUGCCGGGACUUUGGAACAGACCUGGCUGUGGAUCCCCCUGGGGGGCUUCCAAGCUGUGUGACCUUGGACAUGUUAUCUCGCCCUCCUAGUGUUCAUCUUCCCCAUCAAUAAGACAGGCAUGAAGCUGCCUAGCUCACCAGGCUGUGGAAAGGAUGGAAGACCACAGCAGGAGGCGUGAAGCUCCUGCAUGGUGCCCAACACAGGCGAGAGGGCAGACCUGUCCCCUAGAUCCUUGGCCAGUGCUCUUUGCCACAGUUUCCCUUCCCUUGGGCUUCAUCCUGCUGAAGACACUGCUGACCCGGCUGCCUGCAGUGACCUGCAAGCCUGCACCUGCUGCUUCCUGAACUCUCCUUAGGUGCUGCCCAGAGACACCUCCUCUAUCCUGUGGAAUGUCAUGGGGACCUGGAUUGCUAUUUCAGAUUUCAUGUGUGUGCCUAUCGCCCCGGCUGGACUCAGUUCCUUCAGGAUUAGGACCAGGCCUUAUGGUCCUUUGAAUUCCUCCUCAAAAAUCUGCAGGUUUUCCAGAAACAUCUCUUGAUUUCAAUUAGAGGUUUGUAGCUCUAGCACCAAAGUUAAGUUGGAUCUAGGGCUGCUGUUUGCAAGACGUACUUACUAAUCCAGGUGGGCACAGGCCAUGCAGCAGCCAGGCCCUCCAGUGCUGGGCUGGGGCUGCCCUGCCCCCUCCCCUCUCAGGAUCAGUCCUCCCGUGGAGACGGGGUGUCUUUCUGGGGUGCAGAAGCAACCACUCACUCCUUGGCUUUGAGGCUUCAUGAGACCACAGGGAAGCGCUCAAGCCCCUCAGCCUGGAAAACAAUGCCAGGCUUCCUUUCUCAGAUAAUCCCUCUGAUCCCUGCCCCCCUGACCCUCCACAGGCACAUCCAGCCUCCUGCAGGGCUCCUCAGACCCCAACCUGCCCAGCUGUUGGCAUCACCCCUACCAUUUUCUGCCUGCAGAUCCCUCUCCCUCCUCACCUGAAAAUCUCUCUCCUCCCUCCAAGAAUCAGAUCACGGUUACC
rnacentral:lncRNA from 1 species